AACGUAGGAGACGAACGUUAUCCGGAGUUACUGGGCGUAAAGGGCGUGUAGGCGGUUUGUUAAGUCUGGCGUGAAAGCUCUCGGCUAAACCGGGAGAGGUCGUUGGAUACUGGCGAACUAGAGGAUGGUAGAGGCGUGUGGAAUUCCGGGUGUAGUGGUGAAAUGCGUAGAGAUCCGGAGGAACACCAGUGGCGAAGGCGGCUUUCUGGACAAAUACCGACGCUGAGGCACGAAAGCUAGGGGAGCAAACAGG
rnacentral:rRNA from 1 species